AGGAGAUAAUUUCUGGAUAAUUUCUGGAGCUGUGGGUACUAAAUAAACACCAAAUAUUAAAUUUACUUGGUUUAGUAUUGAGGGAGUGGCUGCCUGGAUUUUUUAGUUCUUUUGAGUUUCCUGUUCUUAAUAUCUUUGGUUUUAAGGUUUUAUUGAUGGAAGGUUCAUUUUUUUUCUUGUAGCAUAUGACUAAAAGCUUAUGAUUUUAUUGCUACUUUUUUGCCCCUCCUUUGUUUUUCUCUUUUAUCUUGUUGAAUUAUUUUUCAAGAAAGGAAAAUCACUUCGCUUAAAGUUCAAAAAAGAGUGAAAAAUAGAUCUGUUUAUACCAUAGAUUGCAUUCUGCAGAUAAUUAUAAUCUAUUUCAGUGAACCUCUGUCUUAUUACUUGUUUUACUUUGAUAAGAUAGACUUGAUAUUUGAUUAGAACAAGAAAAUCAGUAAAAGCUGUACAAUCCAGAAAAAGGAAGACAAAUGAAAAUAUGAUCCCCAAGCCAUUUAACAUGAACAGAUUAUACUUCCAUAUUUCAUAAUAUUUAUGCUUUUUGUGUAAACUCAAUAAGUUUGUAGGCAGAACCUUCAAUAUAAUAGAGGGAAUAGCUUGGCAAACUCUCUACAUAAAAAGAGUAGUAAAAGUGGGCAAAAUUCUCAAAUGCAAUCAUAUUGGGGCUUUGGAAGCUGACCAAAGAUGCCUAUGAAGUUAAAAAAUGAUUGCUCAUGAAAAUCUCAUUAACUUGUCUAACAGCAGUGGGUGUUGGCCUUUAUGUCUGGAGUCACUGCUGCUCCCUACCCCAGCCCUGGAAAACCAUCAGCUUCCUUGGAAGAUUUGAUUUGGAGCAGAGCACAGAAAAUUACCACGUCCAAUAGCAUAGUCAGCAAUAGCGGUGUUGGCAAAUGAGUGAAAAUAGCAGGGGCUCGGCUACGGAGAGUGCUCACUGGUUCAGGGCAAGCAGUCUAUACCUGAAGAUAAGCCAGAGAUUUAACUCUGAGACUUGAGAGAUAAGCUGACCAUAGAUUACUUGAAACUUAAAACCACAAACUUGCUUAUAAGAGAUCUGAGAAAACACAAGCUUCCCAUUCCCGCAUUGCGGACUAUGAAACUGUACAAAACAGAAGGAAGAACAAGAGAAACCAGAAGGAAGUAAGAGCCUGGGUAGAUGUAAAACUGUUAUACACAGAAGAGCAAAUUCUUUGUCAGGCAAUAGAAGUCUUUUUUUUUCUUUUUUGGAGAAGAGAAUUAAGU